UAGAGUUUGAUCCAUGGCUCAGAUUGAACGCUGGCGGCAGGCCUAACACAUGCAAGUCGAGCGGUAACAGGUCUAGCUUGCUAGAUGCUGACGAGCGGCGGACGGGUGAGUAAUGCAUAGGAAUCUGCCCGGUAGUGGGGGAUAACUUGGGGAAACUCAAGCUAAUACCGCAUACGCCCUACGGGGGAAAGCAGGGGAUCUUCGGACCUUGCGCUAUCGGAUGAGCCUAUGUCGGAUUAGCUAGUUGGUGAGGUAAUGGCUCACCAAGGCAACGAUCCGUAGCUGGUCUGAGAGGAUGAUCAGCCACACUGGGACUGAGACACGGCCCAGACUCCUACGGGAGGCAGCAGUGGGGAAUAUUGGACAAUGGGCGGAAGCCUGAUCCAGCCAUGCCGCGUGUGUGAAGAAGGCUUUCGGGUUGUAAAGCACUUUCAGCGAGGAAGAAGGCCUGAGGAAUAAUACUCGUCAG
rnacentral:rRNA from 1 species